GGCCAAACUUCAGCUGACCUUUGGACUUGUUAAGCAAGUGCCUGGCAGCCUAGGCGCGGGGGCUUUUCCGCCGCCGCCGCAACGUUGGCUUUAGUCCCGAAAGAAGAAACCGCGCUGCAGGGGUUCAGGACGCGCGCGGCUCCCUGGCUGAGGGUGCUCUGCAGACAGGGUCGCUGCGGCGGUGGCGUGAGUCUCCGGAGUUUCACACGCCAAGGAGAGAAGGCGCCGACAAAGCCAUUGAGGGGAAGAUUUUUUUUUCCCCACUCCCGCCUGGAAGGAACGAGCAAUGGGCCUUUCAGCAUUUUCAUUUCGGCCGCAUCUCCCCUGGGCUCCGAGGGGAAGGAAGGAGGCACCAAGUUCGCCCGGAACUGCAGGCUGGCAUCUGACUUGCUGACGAGGAGGGACGGUGGGGUCCCGCACUCACAGCCUCCUCGCUCCUGGAGCAGAAGACACCCUGCUCUCUGCUCUGACCUGUUUCCUUAUCUGAGACAUGAGGGAUACUACCGAUACCCACAGUGAAAGGGCUGUGUACCUGGAGACCGCUUGUGCCAAUCCUUGGUCCAACAGUUUACAUUUUCCAGUUUAGGAAAGCUGGGGACCAGUGGCAGUGAAAUCUUGCCUCCCGGAAGGCUUCGGGUUCUCAGAAUUAGAGAGAUUGAGCACUGGGGUUGGAGGGACUGGUGGACUGGGAACAAAAACAUCAAAACUAGCAAGAACAUUGCCAAGGAGCUGUCUCUAAGCACAUUUUCUCUCUCUCUCUCACCUGCAAAGAGAGGACGAGUUGGGAUUAGUUAGGGAUAGAGAGGAAUCUCAGCUGUAAGAGAGGCCAGAAGCUCUGAUCUGUUAGGUACUACAGCAGCCUGGGAGGGUGAGGGCUGAUGGUGCGGACCCUUCCAAGUCAGGCCGCAAGGAGCUGGGCUGCCUCUUCUAAGUGCAGGACCAGCAACCGUGCUGAGAUGCAGAAAGAAGCAGGUGAAAAAGCUUUGCAUCCAUGUCAGUCCCUGUUUUCCUGAGAAAGGGAUAACGAGAUCACAAAAGUCAGGCCCUUCGUCCCACCUUCUUGUCUUCUAGUUUGCUGUGAUGUAUGACCGAUCCCUGCCCUUUGUAACUGCACCCAGAGAAAGAGCCUUCUCCGCCUACCCAGAGCCCUUCAAACAAGAUCAUGAAGGGUUGCAAGUAAAUGUCUAGAAAACCGUC